ACUGGGAUGGCAGAGCGUGGUUAAUUGCGAAAGGCCUAAGCCCUUUUAGCAGAGGUUCAAAUCCUCUUCCCAGUU
rnacentral:tRNA from 1 species